rnacentral:lncRNA from 1 species
ACAGACUCGGCGAGUAGCGUGAAGAUUGUCCAUAACCACUCAGCGAGUGGUCUUGCCGAGUUAAGGGGUUGACUCAGUGAGUCAGGGAGAGUCAGAGAGGGUUGACAGGUGGACUGAGUCAAGCUGGAACUCGCCGAGUUGUUCUUGAGACUCGGCGAGUUGAGUCGUGGUGGCCCCGCAACUCAUGCCAGGUGGAACUCGUCGAGUUAGGAAAAUACUCGACGUGUCGAGAGAGGAUCCCAGGGAAUCAGUGGAUGCGUAUAGACUCGCCGAGUCGCUAUAGUGCACUCGCCGAGUCCGGUCAAAGUUGACCGUUGACCAUUGACCAGUGUUGACUUGAUAGGGUUAGUCAACCUUAGUUGUGAAGUGUUAUUUAGAGAUAUAUUGUGUUAUAGGAGGACUAUAGAUCGGGGGAUCGAGCACGAGUGAUUUCAGGGAUUUGCGAGUUACUGAGAUACGCGAGGUGAGUCUUCUCACUAUACUUUACCUUGAGUAGGUAACCAGAGUUAUGUGAUAGAGUAUUUGUAUGCUAUGUAUGUUAUGUGUUGCACUGCAUUAUUUCUAUGUGAUCUAUGCUAUGCAUGUUAUCAGAGUUAGAACCUGAGGGUUCACAGAGCUUGGGUGCACGGACCCACAGAAUUAUAGCCUCGAGUGGCUAAUAUGCGUUAUGUAUGGUAUAUUGGGAAACUCACUAAGCUUUGUGCUUACAGUGUUUGGUGUUAUUUGUUUCAGGUACUAGUGAUGACCGUGGGAAGGCGCCGGCUUGAUCAGUACACACACACGGGAUUUUUAUGUUAUGAGAUCUUGGGAUUUUUAUAUGGCAUGGAUUGAAUUUCAAACAUUGAUGUUUUUAUGAAUAUUAAAUGAAUUAUGUUUUUAUAAAAUGCGAAAAAUUGUUUUGAAAUUUACGGUGUUACAAGUUGGUAUCAGAGCCUUGGUUUGAGGGAUUCGAGUACACCUUCGGGCGUAUUUGAACUCAAACUGAGGAUUUGAGAAGUAUUUUCAAAAAGAGUAAAAGAUUUUUGGAAAAACGCAGAGCAGAGUUGUGUGUACGAUCAGUCCGCGCCCGAACGGUGAUUUCCCAAAAUACCCUCAUGUUAUGUGAUAUUGAUAUUGAUAUGAUGUAUUCUCAUGCUAGAGUAGGCUAGGUACUCCUAUUAGGACUAGAGUGGCCUGAUUUGUGAUGCCUUAGCCUAGGGAGAGGUGAGCUGCUAUGAGAUGCUUGAGAGUGAGUAGGUAGCAGCGAGGGGCUUAUGAGAGAUCUGUUAGAGAGUGGAUUAUGCAUGAUAGAGUACUUGGAAUUUGGGAUCCGAAGAGGAGGACUUGGGGUGUAUUCUGAUACGGUGCGGACAGUAGUAUUGGGCCCGUACUACUGAAAGCACCGGGGCGGUGUACAGCCCAAGUAAGAAUCUUUGGAAUACCAAGGAUCAAGGAGGAAUGAGUUGUCGAGUGUGAGUAUGCUCGAAUGGAUUCUAAUUUAUCGUAUGUUGUAUUUCAGAGGUAGAUCAUGGUGAGGACACGUCUUAUGCCUGAGAGUAGUGGGGCCAGUGAUGAGGAGAUCCGCCGGAUUAUCCAUGAGGAGGUGGCUGCGGCCAUCAGGGCAGAGAUAAUAAGGAUGUUCGGGUCUAUUAAGACCACGUUGAUUGAGAACUUGGACGAGCGUUAUGCCGCUCUUUCUGAGGCUGCUGUUGCAGCAACCACUGCAGCUAUUGCUGUCGCGAGGCCGCAGGGUGGUGAUGCGUUGUUGUUCCGAGAGUUCAGCAACACAAAGCCGCCGGAGUUUGAUGGGACCUAGGACCCGGUGGCGGCUAUGAGAUGGAUUUCUGACAUAGAGGGGUGUUUCUUCACUUGCUCAUCUCCUGAGCAUUUGAGAGUUCGGUUCGCGCUGAACCAGCUUCGCUUGGGAGCGAAGGACUGGUGGAAGUUUGUGACGGCGCACUUUACGCCUGCUGAGCUUGCGGCAGUGACCUGGGAGAGGUUCACUGCCAUGUUCCGAGAUGAGUACGUUCCCCAGGUGGAGAGGGAGCGUUUGGCCCAGGAGUUUCUGACCCUCAAGCAGGGUACUGAGUCUGUUACGGUGAUUACCAGGAUGUUCCAUGAGAGGGCGAUGUUCUGCCCUGAGCACGUGUCCACUGAGCAGGCACGUAUGAGCCGAUAUUUGAGUAUUUUGAGGCGAGACAUUCGGGAGUUCGUGGCGAACUCCUCGUACCGGACAUUUGCCGAGCUUCAGGCAAAUGCCCGGAAGAGGGAGAUUGAGCUAGAGACUCAGGCCAGGGAGGAGGCGGAGUCUCAGGGGAGGGAUCGGCGACCGGCACAGUCUCAGCCGGCAGCCAAGCGGGCCAAGCCCGCUGAUCCCAAACCAGGGAGCCAGAAGGGCCGCACUUGUGGGAAGUGUGGCAAGGGUCAUGAUGGAGUCUGUAGAGCGGGAUCUUGCUACAAGUGUGGCAAGGAGGGGCACAUGGCCAAGGACUGCCCCAAGGGGUUUGCGGUGUGUUUCCACUGCAACCAGACCGGACACCGGAAGGCAGAGUGUCCGCAAUUGCGAGGAUCAUCUCAGGGAGCACCUCAGGGAUCUGCCCCUGCCGCCAUCAGAGCUACCGAGAGUCGGCCAGUGAAGGCCGAGGCGCCGAGGGCACGAGGGAGAGCCUUUCAGUUGACCGCGGAGGAGGUCCGCGCAGCGCCCGAUGUCGUGGCUGGUAUGUAUUCUUUCGUGUAUUUAUUUUGAUGUUGAGAUAUUAUGCUUAUAUUAUGUUAUGCGUAGGUACUUUUCUUGUGAAUUCUGUACCUGCCUUGGUGUUAUUUGACUCGGGUGCGAGUCGGUCUUUUGUAUCUUUGGCUUUUAGUCAGCAUAUCAGUGUUAGUCGUGAGGCGUUGAGUCGGCCUCUGAGAGUUUCCAUAGCUGACGAGAGGGUGAUAUAUGCCACGGAGGUUCUCCGAGGGUGCGUAGUCGAGAUUUUCGGUGUUGAGUUCCCGAUUGAUCUGGUUCCUAUUGCGAUGGGUGAUGUCUGUGUCAUUGUGGGCAUGGACUGGUUGAGCAGAUUCGGUGCGGUUAUCGACUGCGAGCGACAGCUGGUGACCAUACGAGACCCUAGUGGGGGAGUUCUUAUGGUGUACGGCGAGGGUACACGUUCUGGAUCAGCAUUUUGUUCGGCCGCUAGGGUGAGGCAGUGUCUGUAGCAGGGCUGUAAGGGUUUUGUGGCGUAUGUGAUGGAUACGCAGGUGGAUUCCGAGAGACCGAGGUCAGUUGAAGAGGUUCCGAUAGUGCGUGAGUUCCCGGAUGUAUUUCCAGAGGAGUUGCCGGGUGUGCCUCCCGUGAGACAAGUAGAGUUCAGUAUCGAUUUGGUUCCGGGGCUACGCCUAUCGCUAAGGUGCCUUAUCGUCUUGCACCUCCAGAGAUGCAAGAGUUAUCCUUGCAGCUUCAGGAGCUGCUGGGGAAGGGGUUUAUUCGGCCGAGCAGCUCGCCGUGGGGAGCGCCUAUCCUGUUCGUCAAGAAGAAGGAUGGUUCACACCGGAUGUGCAUUGAUUACCGGGAGUUGAACAAGCUGACGGUCAAGAACCGUUACCCGUUGCCGAGGAUCGACGAUUUGUUCGAUCAGUUACAGGGAGCAUCUUGGUUCUCCAAGAUCGAUUUGAGGUCUGGAUAUCAUCAGGUGAGGGUGCGAGAUGAGGACAUCCAGAAGACAGCGUUCAGGACGCGUUAUGGGCAUUACGAGUUUGUGGUGAUGCCUUUCGGGCUCACCAAUGCCCCGGCAGUGUUCAUGGAUCUCAUGAACCGAGUGUGCAGGCCGAUGUUGGAUCGGUCGGUGAUUGUAUUCAUCGACGACAUUUUGGUAUAUUCGAGAUCUAGAGAGCAGCAUGAGGAGCAUUUGAGGGAGAUCCUCGGAGUUCUGAGAUCGGAGAGGCUUUAUGCCAAAUUCUCCAAGUGUGAUUUCUGGUUGCGAGAGGUCCAGUUCCUGGGUCAUCUCGUUAACCAGAAAGGGAUAUUGGUCGACCCGGCCAAAGUUGAGGCGGUGAUGAGUUGGGAGGUGCCGAGGUCACCCUCCGAGAUCAGGAGUUUCCUAGGGUUGGCAGGUUAUUAUCGGAGAUUUAUCAAGGAUUUCUCUAAGAUCGCAGUGCCACUCACCAGGUUGACCCGGAAGGGUGUCGCUUUUUCAUGGGGCCCCGAGCAGCAGGCCUCCUUUGAGACGCUUCGCCAAAGGUUAUGCGAAGCCCCGGUGUUAGCCCUCCCGGAGGGGAUGGAGGACUUUGUGGUAUACUGUGAUGCGUCGAUCUUGGGGUUGGGAGCGGUGCUGAUGCAGAGAGGGCAUGUGAUAGCAUACGCAUCGAGGCAACUGAAACAUCAUGAGACGAGGUAUCCCACCCAUGACCUAGAGUUGGGGGCAGUGGUGUUCGCCCUCACGAUUUGGCGUCACUACCUAUAUGGGGUUCAGUAUACGAUAUACACGGACCAUAAGAGCCUGAAGUAUUUGAUGGAUCAGCCCAACCUAAACAUGCGGCAGAGGAGGUGGUUGGAUGUAGUCAAGGAUUAUGAUUCUGAGAUUAUGUACCAUCCGGGCAAGGCUAAUGUGGUAGCCGACGCCCUGAGUCGUAGGGCGGAGAGUGCCCCAUUGCGAGAUGUAUGUUUGCGAUUGACCGUGAUGGCUCCGGUGUUGGACACCAUUCGUGGAGCACAGGCUGAGGCCGUGAGAUCGGAGAACCAGAAGAGAGAGCGAGUUGUUGGGUUGGUAUCGGAGUUCGUUACCGAUGGUCGGGGGCUUAUGACAUUUCAGGGGCGUAUAUGGGUACCGUUUGUGGGAGGGACGCGUACCAUUUUGAUGGAAGAGGCUCAUCGGUCGAAAUUCUCGAUCCAUCCUGGGGCCACUAAGAUGUAUUUAGACCUGAGGAGAGAGUAUUGGUGGCCCUGUAUGAAGAGGGAUGUUGCGUGGUUUGUUGAGAGGUGCUUAACCUGCCGUAGGGUUAAGGCCGAGCACCAGAGACCGCAUGGUAAGUUGCAGCCGUUGGAGGUUCCCGAAUGGAAGUGGGAACAGAUCACCAUGGAUUUUAUCACCAAAUUGCCAAGGACUGCCAGGGGAGUUGUUGCAAUUUUGGUGAUUGUGGACAGGUUUACGAAGAGUGCUCACUUUCUUGCUAUCAGCAAGAGUUCUUCAGCAGAGAAAUUAGCAGAGGUGUAUGUGAGGGAAGUGGUGUCACGACAUGGGGUGCCGAUCUCGAUUGUUUCAGACCGUGAUGUGCGUUUCACUUCCAGAUUCUGGAAGAAGUUUCAUGAGGAGUUGGGUACUAGGCUGCAUUUUAGUACCGCAUAUCACCCCCAGACAGACGGACAGAGUGAGCGGACGAUUCAGACGCUCGAGGACAUGCUCCGGGCCUGUGUGUUGGAUUUCGGGGGAAGUUGGGAUACGUACUUUCCCUUGGCAGAGUUUUCCUACAACAACAACCAUCAUUCGAGCAUUGGUAUACCGUCCUUUGAGCUGUUGUAUGGGAGGAGGUGCCAGACCCCCAUUUGCUGGGGAGAGGUCGGACAGCGUGUGAUGGGCAGUACAGAGAUCGUGCUUCAGACGACAGAGCAGAUCCAGCAGGUCAGACAGAGGUUGUUGACCUCUCAGAGUCGUCAGAAGAGUUAUGCGGACAGACGCCGGUCCGAGCUUGAGUUUCAGGUCGGCGACCUUGUGCUCCUGAAGGUCUCUCCUUGGAAAGGAGUGAUUCGAUUCAGGAAGAGGGGCAAGUUGGGGCCCAGAUAUAUUGGUCCAUUCCGAGUGAUCGCGAGGGUAGGCAGGGUAGCCUAUCGUUUGGAUUUGCCAGCAGAGUUGGGGCAGAUUCACGGCACUUUCCAUGUGUCGCAACUGCGGAAGUGUAUAGCGGAUGAGUCGGCAGUGGUUCCAUUAGAGGAUAUUCAGGUGGAUGCGAGCCUGAAUUAUGCUGAGAGACCAGUGGCAAUCAGAGAUCGGAAAAUCAAGGUUCUGAGGAACAAGGAGGUACCCUUGGUUUUGGUUCAGUGGCAGCAUCGGAAGGGGUCCGAGAUGACUUGGGAGCCGGAGCAUGAGAUGCGUGAGCAGCAUCCGGAGUUAUUUGCAGAGCGAGACUUCGAGGGCGAAGUCUAGUUCUAGUGGGGGAGAAUUGUAACAGCCCGGAUUCCCAGGUAUUAAUUAUUCUUAUAAUUUUGGUGAUUUGUGAGGAGACUCGGUGAGUUGGAGCUCAAACUCGCCGAGUAUGAUCGCGGCUUGGGCACGGGUUCGCGUCUGGACUCGGCAAGUCCAAAAUGUGGACUCGGCGAGUCCACGCUGUUUAAUGAAACCCUAAUUUCCAAGGUAUGAGACCUAUUUAAAGGGGCUUAUGACGUCAUUUGCGGCCACCAACCCCAGAGAGAACCCUAAAGAGUCUUUGAGCGUGUUGUGAGAGAGAGAAGAGGAAGAUCCUUGACUAAUUGUGGGUGUUUUUGAAUAUAGAAGAGGAUCAAGGCAAGAGGAGACCAAAGAAGGUGCUAAUCCAGUUAUUCUUGAUCUCAGAGACUUCAUUUGAGGUAACCAUUCGUUCCUUUCUCAGUCCUUGGUGUAAAUCUUAGAGUUAGGGUUUCUUUGUGGAAUGAUCCAUGGAGUAAUUGGCCUCCUCACGUGUUGGUGCUUUAGAUCUGGGCCCAAAGAGGUCCAGAGACCCUUUUCCCUCAAGCUUUAUGAGUGUUAAUGGAGGCCAUGAGCUUAGAAUAGCAUUCUAGAGACCAUAUCAUCAAAUAAGGCCUUUGAACCUUUGCAUGAGCACCAAGAUAGUAACUUUACGUGAUGUAUGUGCUUGGAAGGACUGGAUCUAUGAGUUAUUGGAACGGAUCUGACCUCAGGAGUGAGUUUGAGUUUAUGCAUGGCAUAGACUCGCAAGUCUGAAGAACAGACUCGGCGAGUAGCAUGAAGAUUGUCCAUAACCACUCAGCGAGUGGUCUUGCCGAGUUAAGGGGUUGACUCAGUGAGUCAGGGAGAGUCAGAGAGGGUUGACGGGUGGACUGAGUCAAGCUGGAACUCGCCGAGUUGUUCUUGAGACUCGGCGAGUUGAGUCGUGGUGGCCCCGCAACUCAUGCCAGGUGGAACUCGUCGAGUUAGGAAAAUACUCGACGUGUCGAGAGAGGAUCCCAGGGAAUCAGUGGAUGCGUAUAGACUCGCCGAGUCGCUAUAGUGCACUCGCCGAGUCCGGUCAAAGUUGACCGUUGACCAUUGACCAGUGUUGACUUGAUAGGGGUAGUCAACCUUAGUUGUGAAAGUGUUAAUUAGAGAUGUAUUGUGUUAUAGGAGGAUUAUAGCUCGGGGGAUCGAGCGCGAGUGAUUUCCGGGAUUUACAAGUUAUCGAGAUACGCGAGGUGAGUCUUCUCACUAUACUUUACCUUGAGUAGGUAAUCAGAGUUAUGUGACAGAGUAUUUGUAUGCUAUAUGUAUGUUAUGUGUUGUACUGCAUUAUUUCUAUGUGAUUUAUGCUGUGCAUGUUUAUAGAGUUGGAACCGGAAGGUUCACAGAGAUUAGAACCAGAGGGUUCACAGAGUAGGGUCUACGGACCCAC